UCCUCUUCCAGUUGGUUGGACAAAUGUUGAUACAGUAUCAGCACACUUUACAAGUCUUUUUAUGUAUACCAAACUUAUGAUUGCUAAGUCAGCAUUUAGCCUUCUGGCAUAAAACGGAGUGCGCAUAAAUCUGAAAAUCAUUUUGUUUGUAGGAUCAUACAUAAAGUAUUCUUCCAGAACCUCUUUUUGUGUAAAUGGGUAUAAACAUUCGUCAAAUAUUUCCAAAGUUCUAUCUGCAUCUCUUUUCUUGAUAAGAAAAUAUAUCUCCAAGGCCACAGAUUUUAGUGUCAUUUUAAAAUGGGGGCAGCUGGCUGUGCUGUCAUCAAGGAAAAUUGUUGAACAUGAACUGAAUUUCAAAGAAAAAUGCUCAGUAUAUAUAUGGUUUGUACCACUGUUUUCUCCUAUUUCUUGUGCAUCUGUUUGGGAUUUCUUUGCUUCAGAAGUGUUGGACUCCAAUGCUGUAUCAUCUGCUUGAGAUUUAUUUGCUUCUGGAUGAUCAGAAGGGUUGGACUCCAAAGCCCUAUUAUGCUGGUGGAGUUUUCUUUUCUUCUG